UGUAUUUGAAUUUUUAGCUUAAUUUUCACCGAUCAGGAGAUCUUAUCUCUAUACUUGAAUUUUCAGUCUAAUUUUCAUCGAUCGAGAGAUCUUAUCUCUAUAUUUGAUUUUUAGCUCGAUUUUUCACCGAUCAGGAGAUCGUAUCUCCGUAUUUGAAUUUUCAAUUCGAUUUUCAUCGACCAAGAGAUCUUAUCUCCACAUUUAAUUUUUGACUCGAUUUUUAAUCGAUCGGGAGAUCUUAUCUUCGCUCUUACUUUUUGGCUCAAUUUUCAUAAGUCAGGAGAUCUUAUCUCUGUAUUUUACUUUGAGACUUUUCAGAUUGGUGUUACCGCCACC
rnacentral:lncRNA from 1 species